CAGAAAUAGUGCAGAAGGUCGGCCGAGACCCUCACUAAUGGAGAGAGAAGGGCUAACACAUACAGGGACCACUCUGAGGUGUGUUCCAGACCAUGCUCAGCGGUGCCCAGCAGGAUGGAGCUCUGCUGUUUGUGGAGGCCACCUGCUCACGCACCCACUGAGCUCAUGACUCCUCCCACCCUGCCCUGCUUCACGGCCCUGCCCCUGAAGGCUGCCUCCUGGGUCCUCUCCAGAUAAGCCACAUUCACUUGCAUCCUUAACUGGACACUUCUAUCCAAAGACAGGCUGGAGCCUUUGGAAGCUGACAGCCACAGCUUGGGGAACAGUGUGACCCCAGGCUUUCCUGGCAUUCACGUUGAAUCACUUGUCUAAUGUCACACAGCAUUUAAGAGGCAGAUCCAGGAUUUGAAGCAGAUCACUGGGCCCUGGAGGCUACACUGUUCACCACCCUGCUGUGAUGCCUUCAGAAGAUAAAACAGGCACAUUCCGGGUAAAUAUGCAGGCUAACGCAUGCAUGGAAAAAAUUUCCCUGGUAUGAACAUGUACGUGAGUAGAAAAAGUUGCUUAAGACCUAUGAUGCCAGAGAAAGUGGGCAUGACUGUGACUCAAGAUGUGGAGCUGGCGUGAAAAGAGGGGCAGGAACUGCAUCCGCAGUGAGCCUCCCAUGCAUUCCUGGGGGCUCCAGCAGCAAAGCAGGAUUUUGGAAAUAAGGAAAGCUGCUUGUUCGAAAUAAUUUUCUUCUGUCAGUCCAGCCUUUAAUUAGCCAAGGUAAAAACAUUGAACUAGGAAUCCCGAGACUUAAGCUUGAGUCCUGACCCAACCUAUAAAUUCACUGUGUGACCUUGGGAGGCUUGCAUAACCUCUCUGAGCUUUCCCUUCUUUGUAAAUUGCACAAUAUUACCUUCAAAUGUAAUCAUGUGAGAAAGAAACUGCAGCUGCUUCUUGGGUUUAGAGCUGCAGCAUCUGUGUGGGUUCUCAGAAGUACCAUAGCCCUGACUACAAAUUAUCUCAUAGCCAAGAGAACAACCUCAUGGAACUCGAAAGUUGAAAUUCACUCAGUCUGGGUUUUUUAUAUUUAUUCUGGGGAACUUUUGGGGAAAUGACUACAGUCAACCACUCUUAUGCAACAAUAAAGACGCAG
rnacentral:lncRNA from 1 species